rnacentral:rRNA from 1 species
UACGUAGGGGGCAAGCGUUGUCCGGAUUUAUUGGGCGUAAAGAGCGUGUAGGCGGCCAGGGAGGUCCGUUGUGAAAACUCGAGGCUCAACCUCGAGACGCCGAUGGAAACCCCCUGGCUAGAGUCCGGAAGAGGAGAGUGGAAUUCCUGGUGUAGCGGUGAAAUGCGCAGAUAUCAGGAAGAACACCCGUGGCGAAGGCGGUUCUCUGGGACGGUACUGACGCUGAGACGCGAAAGCGUGGGGAGCAAACAGG